GGCGCUAUAGCCAAGUGGUUAAGGCGAUAGAUUAGAAUCACAAGUAGGUACUUAUCUAUUCCCCUCUGGGGUCGCAGGUUCGAAUCCUGCUGGCGUCG